rnacentral:rRNA from 1 species
AGCCUACGGGGGGCAGCAGUGAGGAAUAUUGGUCAAUGGGCGGGAGCCUGAACCAGCCAAGUCGCGUGAGGGAAGACGGUCCUAUGGAUUGUAAACCUCUUUAGGCGGGGAGCAAUGCCGGGCACGUGUGCCCAGGCGGAGAGUACCCGGAGAAAAAGCAUCGGCUAACUCCGUGCCAGCAGCCGCGGUAAUACGGAGGAUGCGAGCGUUAUCCGGAUUUAUUGGGUUUAAAGGGUGCGCAGGCGGGCUGUUAAGCCGGCGGUAAAAAUUCAGGGCUCAACCCUGUCGAGCCGUCGGAACUGGCG